rnacentral:tRNA from 1 species
GUGGGUUUAGCUCAGUGGUAGAGUGCAUGCUUAGCAUGCAUGAGGUCCUGGGUUCAAUCCUCAGUACUGCCA